rnacentral:lncRNA from 1 species
AUGGCACCUUUCGCUCAUCCAUUCCGCCCGCCCGUCCAGACGCGGCGCCUUUUUUCAUUAUCAUCUACCGCCCUUCUUUCCUCCCGGCUAUUCACGCAUGAAGAUCGUCGUAUGUAUGCUCGACUUCGGUUGCCGGUGCGUGUAGGUAGGAGUACAUUAUGGCAGGAUCAGUCACCCGGGCAAACCAACCCUCCUCCAAGAAGAAUUGUGCUAUGCCCUCCCGAUCCCUAUAGAGCGAAAGAGCUGCCUGGUGAUCCCUAG